ensembl:lncRNA LINC00354 long intergenic non-protein coding RNA 354
GGUGGACAUGGACUCCAUGGAAGCCUGAGCUGCCAGGGGCUUCCCUGGGGCAGCACUGCUUCGCGUAGGCUCACGAGAAACUUCCAGGGUUCCUGGCGCCAGCCUUUCAACAGAGCAGCACAUUAUGCCUGGAUAAGACUCAAAGAGCAGCUUAAUAUCAGGUUCUCUGGGGCUGUAAUCAUCGGUUCAGGAUGGAGCAGACACAGCCGCAGCAAGGCCUCUGUGCAGCCCCCGGUUUAAAACACAUCAACGCAUCCGUGGGCACUUUUGUGAGUUAAAGCUCAACUUACACAUCUGCCUGUAUCCAUAGGAAAUGAAUGAAAAUAAACAAACAAAUUCCUUGCAUU